rnacentral:rRNA from 1 species
UACGUAGGUGGCAAGCGUUGUCCGGAAUUAUUGGGCGUAAAGCGCACGUAGGCGGAUUGCUAAGUCAGGGGUGAAAUCCUGGAGCUCAACUCCAGAACUGCCUUUGAUACUGGCGACCUUGAGUCCGGGAGAGGUGAGUGGAACUGCGAGUGUAGAGGUGAAAUUCGUAGAUAUUCGCAAGAACACCAGUGGCGAAGGCGGCUCACUGGCCCGGUACUGACGCUGAGGUGCGAAAGCGUGGGGAGCAAACAGG